rnacentral:lncRNA from 10 species
CCAGGCUGGUCUCGAACUCCUGACCUCAUGUGAUCCACCUGCCUUGGCCUCCCAAAGUGCUGGGAUUACAGUCGUGAGCCACUGUGCCUGGCCGAAAAAUUAAUUUUUAACCAGCUGCUUAACCAAGAAAACCCAUUUCUCAGCAAACGUUUAUUAAGCACAUGCUUUGUGCUAGGUGCAAUGCUAGGCCCUUGGGUUAUAUUGGUGAGCAUGGUAAAUGACCCUCAUGGAGCUUACAGUAGAGUUGGAGACAUUGACAAGUAAAUAUACAGUACACCACAGUAAUACUUGUAAUUGGGGAUUCCUG